UGAUUGAGCCGUGUCAAUAU
rnacentral:siRNA from 1 species